rnacentral:rRNA from 1 species
GACGAACGCUGGCGGCGUGCUUAACACACGCAAGUCGAGCGGUAAGGCCCUUUCGGGGUACGACGAGCGGCGAACGGGUGAGUAACACGUGGGUGACCUCGCCCUCCAGCUCUGGGAGUAAGCCUCGGGAAACCGGGUACGUAAUACUGGAUAUGACUCCAUGACGCAUGUUGUGGGGUGGAAAGCCUUGUGCGGCUGAGGA